CACAAAGCUAACAGGCUAUAGCCUGUACGUAUGCUAGCGGAUAUAGCUAACGUUGCGUAGCCAGCCAGCAACUUGGGCAGUAGAGUUUUGGCGAGCUAACCACGACAGCUUACACAUCCACAACC